ACGCUGGCGGCACGCCUAACACAUGCAAGUCGAACGAAGUAGCAAUACUUAGUGGCAGACGGGUGAGUAACAUGUAGGUAUCUGCCCUUUGGCCUGGAAUAACACGAGGAAACUUGUGCUAAUACUGGAUAAGUCUUUACGGAGAAAGCUUUAUGCACCAUUGGAUGAGCCUGCACUUGAUUAGUUUGUUGGUGGGGUAAUGGCCUACCAAGACUUUGAUCAAUAGCUGAUUUGAGAGGAUGAUCAGCCACAUUGGGACUGAGACACGGCCCAAACUCCUACGGGAGGCAGCAGUGGGGAAUCUUGCACAAUGGAGGAAACUCUGAUGCAGCGAUGCCGCGUGAGUGAAGAAGGCCCUUGGGUUGUAAAGCUCUUUCGUCGGGGAAGAAAAUGACUGUACCCGAAUAAGAAGGUCCGGCUAACUUCGUGCCAGCAGCCGCGGUAAUACGAAGGGACCUAGCGUAGUUCGGAAUUACUGGGCUUAAAGAGUUCGUAGGUGGUUGAAAAAGUUGGUGGUGAAAUCCCAGAGCUUAACUCUGGAACUGCCAUCAAAACUUUUCAGCUAGAGUAUGAUAGAGGAAAGCAGAAUUUCUAGUGUAGAGGUGAAAUUCGUAGAUAUUAGAAAGAAUACCAAUUGCGAAGGCAGCUUUCUGGAUCAUUACUGACACUGAGGAACGAAAGCAUGGGUAGCGAAGAGGAUUAGAUACCCUCGUAGUCCAUGCCGUAAACGAUGUGUGUUAGACGUUGGAAAUUUAUUUUCAGUGUCGCAGCGAAAGCGAUAAACACACCGCCUGGGGAGUACGACCGC
rnacentral:rRNA from 1 species